rnacentral:rRNA from 1 species
AACGAACGCUGGCGGCAUGCCUAACACAUGCAAGUCGAACGAGAUCUUCGGGUCUAGUGGCGCACGGGUGCGUAACGCGUGGGAAUCUGCCCUCAGGUUCGGAAUAACCAUUGGAAACGAUGGCUAAUACCGGAUGAUGACGUUAAGUCCAAAGAUUUAUCGCCUGAGGAUGAGCCCGCGUAGGAUUAGCUAGUUGGUGUGGUAAAGGCGCACCAAGGCGACGAUCCUUAGCUGGUCUGAGAGGAUGAUCAGCCACACUGGGACUGAGACACGGCCCAGACUCCUACGGGAGGCAGAAGUGGGGAAUAUUGGACAAUGGGCGAAAGCCUGAUCCAGCAAUGCCGCGUGAGUGAUGAAGGCAUUAGGGUUGUAAAGCUCUUUUACCCGGGAUGAUAAUGACAGUACCGGGAGAAUAAGCUCCGGCUAACUCCGUG